rnacentral:rRNA from 1 species
GGACCGGGCUGCUGCCGGCGCGGCGCAAGCUGCGCCGGACGGCAACCGGGCCAUCCUCGCGUGGGCGGCCGGCGGCCCUUCACUGGGUUGCCGCACCCCCGCGCGUCCUUUACUGUGAAAAAAUUAGAGUGUUUAAAGCAGGCGUUGCGCUUGAAUACAUGAGCAUGGAAUAAUGAAAUAGGACGUUCGAUCCUAUUUUGUUGGUUUCUAGGAUUGACGUA